rnacentral:siRNA from 1 species
AAGAAAAUCAGCCUAAGAUGGUCC